AUUGAACGCUGGCGGCAUGCCUAACACAUGCAAGUCGAACGGCAGCGACGGGAGCUUGCUCCUGGUGGCGAGUGGCGGACGGUGAGUAAUGCAUAGGAAUCUGCCCAGUAGCGGGGGACAACGUUAGGGGAAACUCAAGCUAAUACCGCAUGCGCCCGUACGGGGAAAGCGGGGGACCUUCGGGCCUCGCACUAUUGGAUGAGCCUAUGUCAGAUUAGCUUGUUGGUGGGGUAACGGCCUACCAAGGCGACGAUCUGUAGCUGGUCUGAGAGGACGAUCAGCCACACUGGGACUGAGACACGGCCCAGACUCCUACGGGAGGCAGCAGUGGGGAAUAUUGCACAAUGGGCGAAAGCCUGAUGCAGCAAUGCCGCGUGUGUGAAGAAGGCCUGCGGGUUGUAAAGCACUUUCAGUAGGGAGGAAACAGUAGCCGGUUAAUAUCCGGUUGCCUUGACGUUACCUACAGAAGAAGCACCGGCUAACUCUGUG
rnacentral:rRNA from 1 species